rnacentral:rRNA from 1 species
CCUACGGGAGGCAGCAGUGGGGAAUAUUUCACAAUGGGGGAAACCCUGAUGCAGCAACGCCGCGUGAGUGAAUAAGUAUCUCGGUAUGUAAAGCUCUAGCAGUAGGGAAGAAAAUGACGGUACCUGACUAAGAAGCGCCGGCUAACUACGUGCCAGCAGCCGCGGUAGUAAGUAGGGGGCAAGCGUUAGCCGUAUUUACUGGGUGUAAGGGGAGCGUAGACGGCAGCACAAGUCUGGAGUGAAAUCCCGGGGCUUAACCCCGGAACUGCUUUGGAAACUGUGCGGCUGGAGUGCAGGAGGGGUAAGCGGAAUUCCUAGUGUAGCGGUGAAAUGCGUAGAUAUUAGGAGGAACACCGGUGGCGAAGGCGGCUUACUGGACUGUAACUGACGUUGAGGCUCGAAAGCGUGGGGAGCAAACAGGAUUAGAUACCCCGGUAGUC